rnacentral:lncRNA from 1 species
GAGGGCACAGUCUUUACAAAAUUUAAAGACUGAUUGAUUGGGUCCCAGCCCAUACUCCACAACUACCAAAACGGACUGCCCAGACCUACCGCUUACCGGGAUGGCUGGAGGGAGUUUGCCCAACUAACACUAAAGAGUGUGAAAUUAAAUAAGACUUUAAGACCGGUAAUCGGUGGCAAACACCAGCUGAAGACACGCCUGACCCUGCGUCCUAUACUUCCCUCCCGGAGGGUCUUUCUUUGAAGGGGAGUGGAACUGCCAGAGCUUAAGCUGAGAAUCUCUAGGUUGAAUGAGAGAUGACCUUGAAAAUCUGUACGACUCUUUGCAAAGCCUCAGUUUUUCUGAAAAGUACAGAAGAAAAAAACCUAGCCUCAAAAAUAGACAAAUCUCAUUAACAACAACUCUUUGCCACUCCAGAAUUCAAAUCUUGAGGCAAAGAAGCCUGUAAUCUAGAGAACCUUUUAUCUUUGAUGCAAAAGAGUCUACAGUAAAAUGAAGCAUUGUGGGAGAUGGUGCUGGGAUGCCUGGGAUGCCCACAGUUAUACUGAGGUUUAAAAGGAGAAAGUAGAAUAUGAUUAGUAAACACGCUGGAUAGAAA